rnacentral:rRNA from 1 species
GAUGAACGCUGGCGGCGUGCCUAAUACAUGCAAGUCGAGCGAACAGACGAGGAGCUUGCUCCUCUGACGUUAGCGGCGGACGGGUGAGUAACACGUGGAUAACCUACCUAUAAGACUGGGAUAACUUCGGGAAACCGGAGCUAAUACCGGAUAAUAUAUUGAACCGCAUGGUUCAAUAGUGAAAGACGGUUUUGCUGUCACUUAUAGAUGGAUCCGCGCCGCAUUAGCUAGUAGGUAAGGUAACGGCUUACCAAGGAAACGAUGCGUAGCCGACCUGAGAGGGUGAUCGGCCACACUGGAACUGAGACGCGGUCCAGACUCCUACGGGAGGCAGCAGUAGGGAAUCUUCCGCAAUGGGCGAAAGCCUGACGGAGCAACGCCGCGUGAGUGAUGAAGGUCUUCGGAUCGUAAAACUCUGUUAUUAGGGAAGAACAAAUGUGUAAGUAACUAUGCACGUCUUGACGGUACCUAAUCAGAAAGCCACGGCUAACUACGUG